rnacentral:rRNA from 1 species
UCGAGAAUCUUCGGCAAUGGGCGCAAGCCUGACCGAGCGACGCCGCGUGCAGGAAGAAGGCCUUCGGGUUGUAAACUGCUGUCAGUGGGGAGUAAACCAUGAACUAUCCACAGAGGAAGCACGGGCUAAGUUCGUGCCAGCAGCCGCGGUAAGACGAACCGUGCGAACGUUGUUCGGAAUCACUGGGCUUAAAGGGCGCGUAGGCGGGCGAUCAAGUCGGACGGUGAAAGCCCCCAGCUCAACUGGGGAAGUGCCUUCGAUACUGGUUGUCUCGAGGAAGGUAGGGGCACGUGGAACUUCCGGUGGAGCGGUGAAAUGCGUAGAGAUCGGAAGGAACGCCGGUGGCGAAAGCGACGUGCUGGACCUUUUCUGACGCUGAGGCGCGAAAGCUAGGGGAGCGAACGGGAUUAGAUACCCCCGUAGUCC